rnacentral:lncRNA from 1 species
AGAAGAUAGAAGAGAGAGAGAGAGAGAGGGACAUCUUGCUCCACAGGACUCUCGCUCUCGCCACCGGCGCCCCCGCUAUUUAUUUUCCAGGAUUUCAGAGUCCGAAGCCAUUAAUCUCCGCUCCGCAGCGUCAGUGGAGCGCGUCAGGGCGACGUCGGGGUGCGUGGCGUCGGCGACGUCGCUCUGCUCUUAGCCGCAGAGCCUCGUGUACACCGUCGUGGCAGCCUGCUGUUGAAGAGAGGGAGAACGGGGAGGGAGGGGAGGGAAGAGAGAGAGAGAGAGGAAAAGAUGAGGUGUCGGUGAAAGAAGAGAGGUGAAGAUGGAGCGAGAGAAAGAAGGAGUGGUGGGGGAGAGGGAGGGGAAAGCGUCCGGAGAGGGAGUCGGUGAGGGACAUGGGAAGUUCUGUAAGGUUUUGGAGGGGGUGCUGAUGGCGGCGACGAGAGAGGGGAACUCCUACGGCCAAGUUAUGCAAAAAACGUCUAUUCGUGAAAGGAUGAUACCGCGCUGGAAGGUGGAAAGGCAUUAGUAUCUAAGAAUUUUGCGGUGAUGGCCUUUUGAUGUCCAUCUCAAUUCGAGUAUUCCGGUUUAACGCUCCGAUUUAUCGCGUUAACGAAAUUGGAAUUGGUCUGCAAAUAUUCGUUAUGACUUGUAUUGAUCCUUAUGAUAUAUUCGAGGCACGCCGACGAACGAGUUGAAAAGCCAAGAGGAGAGAUCUCUAUCGGCGCUUAAUCGUUAACAAGAACGAGAGAUCCAGCAUCUCGUAAGGCAUUAAUCGUUCGAAAGUGACGCUGCCAACCGACCAGGGCAAUAACAACAACAACAACAACAACAACAACAACUGGGAUACCUGUUGGAUAUAUUCGAAAGUCUUGGUGGAAUGUGUGAAGAUGGCCAUUAUAUAGCCGAGUACGGGUUAAAUUAUAUUAAAUACUAAAUAACCGGUGGAAGACCACAGUCUAAUUGUUGCGUCGUUUGCAUAAUGCCCGGUCUGUAACUACUCUCUUCCCUUCUGCAUCCCCACUCCCCAUCCCGUUUCCAUCUCUGUCCACUUGUACCCUCUUUAACGUGCCUUCUCCGCGUAUAUCUCCUCGUUGCAUCCUCCUAUCUUCUUUCUGUGACCCCCUUCCACUUUACAACGACCGUGUCCCCUCUUCUCUGAUUCAGUCGCAAUAUACCGGACCGAAAGAUUAAUCGUUAAUUCUCGCUACUGCAACCAGUUGCUACCAAAUGCUCAAAGGUUCGUUUCUGCAUGGAUUAAGAAACCGAUGGAUCAGGUAGCAGUGCGCACAAAGGAAUUGUAAAUGUGGUAAUAUCUUGGUAGGAUGAAUUUCGUUUCUUGAUACGGUAAGCGAAUAUGCAUAUUUGAGGUUAAGUUAGGCAAGGAUUAAGAAACCGACAGAUCGGACAACAAUGUGCGCAAAAAAGUUUUAAAUGUGGUAGAAUAUAUUCGUUUCUCGACGCGAUAUGCAAAUGUUCAUAUUCGGGGAUAGGUUAAGCAAGGAUUAAGAAACGAAUCGAUUUAGCAUAAAUGUUCAUGAAGAAAAAAUAAAUAUGAAAAGAAA